CUAACCUAAUGUCACAAUUCUAUCACAGUCUUUGUUCGUAGCUGCCACCAGGCUACGAUGACACGUUGCAAACUCUCUACUACAUCGUAAGAGUGACACACGCGCAUCAACCACAAAAUGAACAAAUCCUGCUACAAAAAAAAUGAGAUUCAGAUUUGGAUCCUGUCACCAAUUGAAAUCCUGAUCAGAGCUGCGCAAUUAUGGGUUACUACAUCGUACCACAUAAGACAUCAGAUGAUCACAAUUUCACUCGACAAAAGGACAUACACUACAUCGAUGGAACUAUCAUUUUUUAUUUUUUUGAAUUCAAAUUUCAAAAUUGGGCGCCAUAUUGUUACGGACUGGUUGUCUUCCCCUGGGGCCGCGCCGGCUGGCUCAUCGGUACUCAGGUGGAGUUCCAUCCCUGGCCCGCAGUCCGCACAAUCGAUAACUUCACCGAUAUUAACAGCUGUGUACAACAGAAGAAACGCAUCACUAACAGAAAAACAGCUGCCGCGCAAUUGAAAAUUGCGCUAAACAAAAGGAAAUCCAAAACAAACUAUUGAUGAGGGGCCCAGUUGGACCCCGGCGUACCCACCCUGCCUGAGAUGGCCACAUCGGCGCCAUCUCCCUUUGCGUUGGCCACCAUAUCAGUGGCUGCUCCUCAUCCGGCGUAGUGUUGUGGAAUUUCCCUCCCCUCCAUGCUGAGAAGACUCACACAACCAUGUUCAACAUAACAUACAAAUAUUUGGACUUCAAAAUGGCAAAGGAACAAGAUUCAUAAAUCACGCAGCGAAACAACAAAUAGCCACAACGGCGUAAAGGACAACUUCUCUUAUAUGUAACACAUCCGGGCGGUUCGAAUAUAUUUAUUUACCAGUUUAUAUACGCAUGU